UUGUACACACCGCCCGUCGCUACUACCGAUUGAAUGGCUUAGUGAGGUCUUCGGAUUGGCGGCAGAGAGCCGGCAACGGCACUCAGUUGCUGAGAAGUUGAUCAAACUUGGUCAUUUAGGGGAAGUAAAAGUCGUAACAAGG
rnacentral:rRNA from 1 species